rnacentral:tRNA from 1 species
AUUUAGAUAUCUUAAGUUUUAAAGUUUAAUAUUGAAGAUAUUAAGAUGAAUAUAAAUUCUCUAAAUG